CCGCCGAAAGUGUGAAUUUGAAUCCUUGCUGCUGGGAUUUGAAUUUUUUCUCAUUGUAAGCUCUUUCUUUCACUCAGAAGUGUUGUAUAUUUUUUUAAAUCUAGUUUUUGUUAGGAUAGUACACAGUAGAUAUUUUGAACAUAGUGCUCUAUUAUUGAUUGUUUAGAAACUGCUUUAUUAACUAUAGUAUUUAUCAACCUAACCUUCUCAAGCCUUACCUUCUAUUUGUAAUUGGUCGAUAUAUAUAAAUGUUUCCUUUUUUGUCAUACAUUGUGGAUGCCUGCUGAAUACUUAGCUUUUAUAUCUAUGUUUCCUUUUGUUGGCUCGCAUCCUCUCUUUCACUUCUGUCUUACCGUUAUCUUUUAGUUUGCAUAAGAAAAGAUGAAACUAUUGUGCAACUAGAUGGAUUGUUAUCAUCUCUUAGUUGUAGUUUUUGUUAUCGUCUCUUAGCAGUGGUUCCUGUUUUUACUGUCCCAGUCACAUUCCUAGUCGUUUCUCAUUGAAUUGGAUGGAGAUGUCCAUGUAACAGCCAUGUCCAUGUAUCUGCUAUAUGACUAUGUAAGCACUGUCGCACAUGUCUAAUUAUAGGUCGCACACGUCUACAUAUUGGCAUUUCCAUCCAUUUGAUUAGAGUAAUUAGAUGGAACUACUAGGAUUACAGUGUAUUGAAUAGUUUAAAGACUCAGCUACACAAAUUUGAGAGGUCGAAUCAACUAGAAAUUUCUACUCGUUCUUCAAUUUCUUUCUGAUUCUGGUGGAAAUUUUCAAUUCCUACAAGAAUUCUGUAGUAAAUUAGGCAAUCCUAGAAAUGCAGAAUUGCAUGUUCACACAAAAGUCCACCUUCGAUUGCAAAUUUCUCUAGAAAGCAAUCUGAUUGUGUGCAGUAUUUAUUCAGAUCUAAAUUGUUUUUCCACUUUGUCCUAUCUGGUAAACCAAGGAUCUGCUUAUCGCGUAUUAACCAAAAGCCACUCCAGUUUGCUUUGGUUCACAAUUUCUUGCCAGACAGGCCUCAUCUUGAGAGCAAUACUAGUACAUAGAAAAUUGCAUAGCUAAACUUGAUGAUGAGCAGAGAAGGCCUUAGUUUUGCUUCCAACUAUUUUUGAAUAGUGUCUUCAUGCCACAGUGUCUUAUCAAAUGUAUUUGCAUGAUCUAAAAAAGUAAGACCAAUGAAAGCUUAGUCAUAUAUGUAGUAGAACUUUUCUCAUCGAACUUGUAUACCUAGUAGAGUUUUUCUCGUCCAACUUGUAUAUCUUGCUUUAUUACAUAUCAAAUAUUAUUCAGUAAUGGUUCCAUGGAGAGGCCGUAGCAGCUGGAAUGGUGAUAUAUCAAAUAUUAUUCAGUAAUAUUUGCUUGAUGCGAUCAAUUUGAUACAUGACUCAAGCAGUCUGAUCGAACUUGAGCUCUAGAUCACUAAUAUUGGAUUGAAAAUUCCUUAUGUUAGGCUUUUAAGCGUGAAUGACUCCCAAUGAGUGAAGGAGAUGAAACAUAUAAAUUAUAUGCACUAAUCAUAUUGGAUUGAUAUUGGCCUGAUUUUAGUUGUUCUAAUGUUCAUUUUCAGAUGUGCUUGUCUACUUAAUUUGAGUGCGCUAUUGUUACAAAGUGAAAAGAAAAGCUAGACCAAAUCAGUACAACCUAACUUUCAUAUUUUUUAGAAAUUUGAUAUGAUGAUUUUUAUUUGGUAAUUUCAAAUACUGAUUUUAUGACUUCUUUUUGAUUGAUCCAGAACAGCUGGAGCUGCGGAAAUUGAAGUGGGAAGCAAGAGUUUCAAACAUGCAGUGUUUGUUAUUUUUUAGCUAUAUUUUGAACAAGUAUUUUUUGUUAGAACUUAUGUUUGAAAUUUAAUUUGAAUACUGAGAUUGUAAUUUGAGAGUUGAGACUAUUUGUUAUAU
rnacentral:lncRNA from 1 species